rnacentral:rRNA from 1 species
AUUGAACACUGGCGGCAGGCCUAACACAUGCAAGUCGAGCGGAUGAAGGGAGCUUGCUCCUGGAUUCAGCGGCGGACGGGUGAGUAAUGCCUAGGAAUCUGCCUGGUAGUGGGGGAUAACGUCCGGAAACGGGCGCUAAUACCGCAUACGUCCUGAGGGAGAAAGUGGGGGAUCUUCGGACCUCACGCUAUCAGAUGAGCCUAGGUCGGAUUAGCUAGUUGGUGGGGUAAAGGCCUACCAAGGCGACGAUCCGUAACUGGUCUGAGAGGAUGAUCAGUCACACUGGAACUGAGACACGGUCCAGACUCCUACGGGAGGCAGCAGUGGGGAGUAUUGGACAAUGGGCGAAAGCCUGAUCCAGCCAUGCCGCGUGUGUGAAGAAGGUCUUCGGAUUGUAAAGCACUUUAAGUUGGGAGGAAGGGCAGUAAGUUAAUACCUUGCUGUCUUGACGUUACCAACAGAAUAAGCACCGGCUAACUUCGUG